UAGAUAGAUAUAGAUAGAUAGUCAGACAGACUGGUUGACUCUGUUGGUUAGUUUUGUAGUUUCUGUAUCAAAAUUUCAAACCACUGCCUUCCUGGUAUAGAGUUCCCUCAAACUGGGGCUUUUCACAUCACCUUCCGCCAGCAAGCAUUACAUGAUAUGCCCAUCUCCACUUCUCCGCAAAGGAGCUCGAGUCAGGUCCUCCUCUGGACGAAGAAAUCUGAGUUAGCAGUUGGCCCAGCCCUCUGCAAAUGGCACACGGGGCUGGCAGUGGCUGCACCUUGCGGACCGAGGACAAUAGUCCGGUGCGAAGCUUGGCGUUUGUGUGCGGACCCAGGGGGCGGGGUGGGGGUGGGAGCCUCAGAAACAGGAAGGCCGAGAUUACAGUCGGUUUUACAGCUCUUUUGAAGUCGCCGGGAGCCAGCUCGGGAAGCCUGCAGGCUGUGAGCACGUUGAUCAAAGGUCCCUUUGCGGGCUCAAAUUAACAGGGAGCUGGCGAGCCCGCGCAGCACCUGCCUGGGAAGAGCAGCGCCACAGCAAACCGGCUCAUCUUGCCGGGAGGUGAGCCUCUCAAAAAGCUUGCCCAGGCAAAGUACUUAGGUUCUGUCUGGGUCGGAGGGGAAAGGCGUGGUCUGUUUUCUUUGCGUAGAGAUAUUUAUUUUUAACGUUGAUCUUUACGCCACUAGAGCCCUCCCCCCUCCGCUCUAAUCCACAAGCAACCCCUUUUCAAAAAUGGAUGGAUGAGUUGAGAUUGGGAGAGGAAUGAAUGGUUUUAUCAUAAAAUUGCGCCGGCCCCUUUACGCAGCGUUGUCCCUUUCAUCCCUAUUAAAAGCCAUAGUAUUGAUAGGGUUUUUUGUUUUGUUUUGUUUUUUAAAGAGUAGCCCUAAAGGGUCAGAAUAAAAACAAACACACUGGAAAACAAAGCCCGUGGGCUCAGAGAGCUGAUGCCUAGAAAAGAAAGUGAAAAGUUAUGUAUAGUUGGGUGUUAAUACACCGAGAAGCUGCGGAGAGCGCACAGGAGUUCAUUGUGUCAGACUCUUUGUAGUUAAUGAGACUUAGGAAAUCCCCGAGGACUCGGCAGUGCCUCGAGUCUUCCUAAGGAGCAGAUGUGGUCAAAAGGAAAAUGGAGAAGGGGUAACUUGGUAGACAACAGAGGAUAGAGGUAUUUAGAAAAUAAAAUUAUAAACGAUCAUUUGCCAAGGCAACUCCAAAAUCCUUUAGAGUAUAGGGUGGUUUUGUUCAUUUGUUUUUUGGGGUUAUCUCUUUGCAAGUCAUUUGAUUUCAAAUGCAGUGCUCGCACAGCAUGCAGAAUCUGCUGGGGAUUGAGGGCUGCAUUACAGCCCAUAGCCUCAGACAGGCUGAACUCACCAGCCAGCCAGCUUCCUCCCCCUGUACAGCAGUAACAACACCUCUCACUAGGGUUGUGAAGUCUAAACGACUGUACAUAAGGUGCCCAAUAAAUAAGAUAAUGUGAUAAGUGGCAAUAUAAGGUGUGCAAUAGAUAGACUAUUACUUUUAAGUCAAUCUGACUUUGUGUUUCUAUGUUUACACAUGUAGUAUUUGGAAAUGAACCUUGGACUUUAAGAACGCUUGGAGUCAUUGAACCACACCCAACUCCUAUUCUGACAUUUCACUGCUAUCCAGGAUUUACAGAAAAUGUUAGAAAAACUCUGCAGCAAUGUUAUUUUGAAAUUUAUAAAGCCUUUACAAAAAUGUGAAGAAAGAUGUAUAUAUUUGUGGCAUCUUGAUCUCUACUAUAAAUUGCGAAAUGAUUGGAUUGAGCUUAAGGUAUUAAAGCUUUUAAUUAGAAAAUUUUAAAUAAAUGAUGUUCUGGAUAUGUCAUGCAUGUAACUUUGGAGAAAAAUGUCAACUACGUGUAACACCCCCUGACUUGCCAUUAUACCUAUUAUGGAUUCAAAGGAAUUUAAUACACCUGUCUAGUUUAGUCUGGUCUAUCUUUUUUUUCCCGCUCUUUGGUGGUGUUUUGUGUUUAGUGGGGAUGGAAGCCCAGGCCUUGCCCCUCCAACUGAGCUACAUUCCUGGAUUCCUGGGAUCUUGUUUUGGUUUUUCUUUUUCUUUCUUUUUUUUUUUUUUUUGAGACAGGGCCGUUACCUCUGCUAUCGUGGGUUGAAUGUAUCUAAAACCAUAUCAACUCUAUACCGUGAUGCCAGGGUACGCCUUGUUUACCUUCAUGGUCUUGCGACUAAGUCAGAGCUAUGGGCUCACCGUGGCUGCCCAGCAUGACAGCAUCACCACCAGCCUGGGACACCAUCGGGCUCAGAACAUGAUUUUAUAGAAUAUAUGCUCUCAGCUUAUAGGUGGGUCAAAAGCAGUAAACGAGCCAUCUUGCAUCAGCAACCUUCUUGAAAGUGGUCUCUCUUGAUGUGUGGAUCCCCACACCCGAUUGGAUGCCUGAGGUCACUCAAUCUUAUCACAUCUGCUUUUUCCAAAGUUUGAAUGCAUCAGCUCUGCCCUUUGUCCUAACUGGGUGCUAGAAGUUGAAUGGCCAGGAUUAGCCCCAACUUCUGUCUCCUCACAAUCUCACAGGGAGAUUUGAUCUUCCCUUAGGCCUGACCAACCACAGGAUGGGAAUUUUUCUAACCUUGCUGAGAACUUUCACUUACAGGAAAAGCUUCAGAACAACUCUCUGGCAUGUGCUAAUUCCUAUCAUGGCUCACUACACUCCCAUUACGAACCCUAGCACUGGGUGCCCGUCAGCCCAGUCAGCCCAGUCGGGAAUUACUAUAGCUACCAAGUGACUGCCAAGGCAGGCAGCCUGUCCCCUGUAUACAACAAAGGGGUGAGUCACGGAGUAAGGUUGCAUGAGAUUUCAUCACGCUGCUCAAAACGGAAUGGAAUUUAAGGCAGGAGGUUUAUUUCUUGGAUUUUCCAUUUGAUAGUCUCAGUCCUGUUUGACCACGAGUGGCUGAAACCUUAAGAGAGGUGGAUAAAGGGAAACUGUGGCACAUAUCAGCUUUUCGAAGAAUCAUUCAAAUACAUUUCAAACUGAAAUUCAUGAGGGAUAAAAUAUUAUUAGGUAACAAGAGACAAACAGAACCAGAAUGGCAACUAGCUUUGUUUAAUUUCAACUUCUAAUUUCACAUUAAAAUUUAUAUGGGGAGAAUUUAUAGCUUUAGGAUAUAUAUAUAUAUAUAUAUAUAUAUUCAAAUCUAUUUACAGAUAUUGUCCCAAUAUAAAUUUGAAUAAUUUGUUUUCCUUUUUAGAUAAAAUGUGAAUGAUCUUAUCAAAACGAACAUAUUCAAGAUUUAUUUUAUUUGAAAGAUACUAGUGAGCCACUGAGAUGGCGCAGUGAGUAAAGGCUCUCCUUACCAAGCUUAAUGACCAGGUUCCAUUAGAGAGAGAGAACUGAUUCCCCAAGUUGUCCUCUGAUGGCCAGGCAUGGAGGGAGGCCCUCACAGGCACACACAUCACACACUAUAUAUGUGGGGAUGCCCACAAAGGUGCACACACAUCACACACAUACCAUAUAUGUGGGACGGCCCACAGGCGCGCACACACACACACACACACACACACACACACACACACACACAUCACACACAUACCAUACAUGUGGGACGGCCCACAGGCACACACACACACACACACACACACACAUCACACACAUACCAUACAUGUGGGACGGCCCACAGGCACACACACACACACACACACACACACAUCACACACAUACCAUACAUGUGGGACGGCCCACAGGCACACACACACACACAUCACACACAUACCAUACAUGUGGGACGGCCCACAGGCACACACACACACACACACACACACACACACACACACGCACAUCACACACAAAAGAGAAAGUGAAAUGGAGCCUUCUGGUUUUCCUCUGAAGCAGAGUCUCACGCUUGUCCCUCUCCUUAGGGUAACGGUUAUCUUCUGUAAUCUCUGCCUGGCUUUGUUGUACUUAUCUGCCUGCAUGUGCGCACAAUUUGCUAAAUGUCUGCCUCCAACAGCCUCCUAGAGCCAGGUAAAUUUCCAUGAGGUCUGAGCCAUGUGAAGUCACCCACAAGCUGCCCCGAGGGUGGCACUGGCUACUGGUGUCGGUAAAACACUUCAUUCAGAAAUCCUGUUUCCUUGACAUUUGUUAAAUCUCUGUAAAACUUGCUAUCCUUUUUUUUUUUUUUUAAGAUUUAUUUAGUUUAUGAACGUGAGUACACUGUUGCUGUCUUCAGACACACCAGAAGAGGGCAUCAGAUCUCAUUACAGAUGGUUGUGGGCUACCAUGUGGUUGCUAGGAUUUGAACUCAGGACCUCUGGAAGAAUAGUCAGUGCUCUUACCCACUGAGCCAUCUCUCCAGCCCCAAAACUUGAUAUUCUUACUCAACGGUUUACCACGCUUCCCUUGUUUGCCUGCUGUGCUACUGCAACCGUGGGCCCUAAGCUACCACUUUUCCUUCGUCUGCAAAGCAGUUGUUGGACAUUUUCUCUUUUCAACCUCUGAAUCAUAAAACCCAGCCCACAGGGCAAUCUGUUUUUAAUUACAGGUCAUGAUUUUGAGGUCAAGACUCGGCAUAUUCUCCUGUUAAUGAGCUUAGUGAGAUCUAAACCUCUGACCUUUACACAUUAUCUUUUGCUCUCUGGCCACCUUCCAGAGAGACAUAUCAAUUUGGGGUGGGGGUGGUUAAACAAUGCUUACCUUCCUGCAGUGUCUUCAGGGCUAAUAGGGGCUUGGCUUCAUGUAGCAAGAACCAUAUGAAUCCCGUUUUAUGAGUCCAGUGUCAAGUAUGAGAUUUAUAACAAGCUGGACAGUGGUGGCACACACCUUUAAUCCUAGUGCACAGGAGACAGAGACAGGUGGAUCUCUGUGAGUUUUGAGGUCAGCCUGGUCUACAACAUACAUAGUGAAUUUUAAGACAGUCAGGGCUACA
rnacentral:lncRNA from 1 species